rnacentral:rRNA from 1 species
GCUUACACAUGCAAGUCGAACGGUAACGGUCCUUCGGGAGCCGACGAGUGGCGGACGGGUGAGUAACGCGUAGGAAUCUGCCUGGUAGUGGGGGACAACUCGGAGAAAUCCGAGCUAAUACCGCAUACGCCCUACGGGGGAAAGCGGGGGAUCUUCGGACCUCGCGCUAUUAGAUGAGCCUGCGUUGGAUUAGCUAGUUGGUAGGGUAAAGGCCUACCAAGGCGACGAUCCAUAGCUGGUCUGAGAGGACGAUCAGCCACACUGGGACUGAGACACGGCCCAGACUCCUACGGGAGGCAGCAGUGGGGAAUAUUGGACAAUGGGCGCAAGCCUGAUCCAGCAAUACCGCGUGUGUGAAGAAGGCCUGAGGGUUGUAAAGCACUUUCAAUAGGGAGGAAAAAGCGUUGGUUAAUAGCUGAUGCCUUGACAUUACCUAUAGAAGAAGCACCGGCUAACUCCGUGCCAGCAGCCGCGGUAAUACGGAGGGUGCGAGCGUUAAUCGGAAUUACUGGGCGUAAAGCGUGCGUAGGCGGUUAUUUAAGUCAGAUGUGAAAGCCCCGGGCUUAACCUGGGAACGGCAUUUGAUACUGGGUAACUUGAGUUUAGGAGAGGAGAGUGGAAUUUCCGGUGUAGCGGUGAAAUGCGUAGAGAUCGGAAGGAACACCAGUGGCGAAGGCGGCUCUCUGGCCUAAAACUGACGCUGAGGUACGAAAGCGUGGGUAGCAAACAGGAUUAGAUACCCUGGUAGUCCACGCCGUAAACGAUGUCAACUAGCCGUUGGGUCUUUAUUAAGACUUAGUGGUGCAGCUAACGCAUUAAGUUGACCGCCUGGGGAGUACGGCCGCAAGGUUAAACUCAAAUGAAUUGACGGGGGCCC